CGGCGGAACACGUGAAAUUCCGUCGGAAUCCGGGAGGACCAUCUCCCAAGGCUAAAUACUCCCUAGUGACCGAUAGUGAACCAGUACCGUGAGGGAAAGGUGAAAAGCACCCCGGAAGGGGAGUGAAACAGUUCCUGAAACCGUGUGCCUACAAGUAGUUAGAGCCCGUUAAUGGGUGAUAGCGUGCCUUUUGUAGAAUGAACCGGCGAGUUACGAUUUGUUGCAAGGUUAAGCGGAAAAAGCGGAGCCGUAGCGAAAGCGAGUCUGAAUAGGGCGCAUAAGUAACAGGUCGUAGACCCGAAACCAGGUGAUCUACCCAUGUCCAGGAUGAAGGUAAGGUAAUACUUACUGGAGGUCCGAACCCACGCACGUUGAAAAGUGCGGGGAUGAGGUGUGGGUAGCGGAGAAAUUCCAAUCGAACUUGGAGAUAGCUGGUUCUCUCCGAAAUAGCUUUAGGGCUAGCCUCGAGGUAAAGAGUCAUGGAGGUAGAGCACUGUUUGGACUAGGGGCCCUUCUCGGGUUACCGAAUUCAGAUAAACUCCGAAUGCCAUGUACUUAUACUCGGGAGUCAGACUGCGAGUGAUAAGAUCCGUAGUCGAAAGGGAAACAGCCCAGACCACCAGUUAAGGUCCCCAAAUAUAU
rnacentral:rRNA from 1 species